rnacentral:rRNA from 1 species
AUUGAACGCUGGCGGCAUGCUUUACACAUGCCAGUCGAGCGGCAGCGCGGCCUUCGGGCUGGCGGCGAGCGGCGAACGGGUGAGUAAUGCAUCGGAACAUGCCCAGUCGUGGGGGAUAACACUUCGAAAGAAGUGCUAAUACCGCAUACGUCCUGAGGGGGAAAGCGGGGGAUCGCAAGACCUCGCGCGAUUGGAGUGGCCGAUGUCAGAUUAGCUAGUUGGUGGGGUAAAGGCCUACCAAGGCGACGAUCUGUAGCUGGUCUGAGAGGAUGAUCAGCCACACUGGGACUGAGACACGGCCCAGACUCCUACGGGAGGCAGCAGUGGGGAAUUUUGGACAAUGGGGGCAACCCUGAUCCAGCCAUGCCGCGUGAGUGAAGAAGGCCUUCGGGUUGUAAAGCUCUUUCGGCAGGAACGAAACGGUGGGCUCUAACAUAGUCCGCUAAUGACGGUACCUGAAGAAGAAGCACCGGCUAACUACGUG